rnacentral:rRNA from 1 species
UACGGAGGGUGCAAGCGUUGUCCGGAAUCACUGGGCGUAAAGGGCGCGUAGGCGGCUCAUGAAGGCUGUGGUGAAAGUCCGGGGCUCAACCUCGGAUCGGCCGUGGCGACUCGUGGGCUGGAGCACUGUAGAGGCGGGUGGAAUUCCGGGUGUAGCGGUGGAAUGCGUAGAUAUCAGGAGGAACACCGGUGGCGAAGGCGGUUCUCUGGGCAUUACCUGACGCUGAGGAGCGAAAGUGUGGGGAGCGAACAGG